rnacentral:rRNA from 1 species
UACAGAGGUCUCAAGCGUUGUUCGGAUUCAUUGGGCGUAAAGGGUGCGUAGGUGGCGCCAUAAGUCAGGUGUGAAAUCUCGGGGCUUAACUCCGAAACUGCAUUCGAUACUGCCGUGCUUGAGGACUAGAGAGGAGACUGGAAUUUACGGUGUAGCGGUGAAAUGCGUAGAUAUCGUAAGGAAGACCAGUGGCGAAGGCGGGUCUCUGGACAGUUCCUGACGCUGAGGCACGAAGGCCAGGGGAGCAAACGGG